rnacentral:rRNA from 1 species
UACGGAGGAUGCAAGCGUUAUCCGGAAUGAUUGGGCGUAAAGGGUCCGCAGGUGGCAGUGUAAGUCUGCUGUCAAAGAAUGAGGCUUAACCUUAUCAAGGCAGUGGAAACUACACAGCUAGAGUACGGUCGGGGUAGAAGGAAUUCCUGGUGUAGCGGUGAAAUGCGUAGAUAUCGAGAGGAACACCUGCGGCGAAGGCGGGUAGCUGGGCCGACACUGACGCUGAGGCGCGAAAGCCAGGGGAGCGAACGGG